GUUUACUCGUGUGGCCCUCUUGAGAUCAGAUUAAGCUGUAUGCGGCCCCUCAACCAAAAUGAGUUUGACACCCCUGCUCUAAAGGGUCCUGGUUUUGAAGCAGAGGAAAAUGACAUCCAGACCAAUGAAGGAGAUGCUCAGACUGAAAGAAGCAAAUGAGAAACAGAAGAGAAAUAGCAGAAGUAAUGGAAGAUGCACAGCUGAGGUCUCAUGGAAACAUGUCCAGGAACACAAACUAGACCACAAAUCUAGACUCUGUAGAUGAUGCAAUCAUCACAAAAUAAAAUAUAAACAUCUCUUGUGAAACAG